rnacentral:tRNA from 3 species
UGGCGGGUAGCUCAGUGGAUAGAGCAUCUAAAACAUCCUUGUUCGCCCCUUGCCUGCAAAGGCCGAAGAAUUGAGGGUUAUCGGCUUCUAACCGGAGGGUCGCGGGUUCGAGUCCCGCUCCGCCACCCA